CUACUGUGUGAAUGUGUGUUCUAGUGCACUAAACAUGUAGGUUACCAUCAUUUUCUUUCUGAAGGGCCUCUCCUUUGAAAAGCAAAUGAUGGUAACCUAAGCAGCUGGGGAAGGGACGGGGGAUGAUAAUUUUUAUGCAGCUUUCUUUUUAUUUUCCAGUCUGUCCAAAAGCAUAACCACUGCUGGUCACAGUGCGGGAAGCUCCAGAGGGAGACCGUACUGGUAUCCCCCUUCUUUGGGCGCGCCUUCACACACACUCCACCAUUCACUCAUAUCACAGAGACCUGGCUGGGAUCGAACCAGCAACCUCUGAACCCGUGAGGCAGCGCUCUUACCUGUGAGCCACAGGUCUCUUGUUAGAGCAUGUGAAGGAACUUAUUUUUGGAUUGUUGACUUGCGGCGCAAGCGGGUUUCACCUUCAGUCCGACACCUUCAGCUGCUUGACAACAAGACGCUUGAUGACAGUCACAACAACACGUGCAGAUGACAGCUAUUAAUAUCAUUAUAAAAACAUGUUUUUCAGCUAAUCAACAAAUGAAACCGACACACGGUCCGAUAAAACGCUGGAAUUGAGUGUCACGCGACUCACCUAAUAAGUGCUGUGCUGUGGAUUGUAAAGCAGAGCUCUGGGGCGUGUGGACAGACACUGACUGUAAUGAUGGACAUCUGCUCGUGGACAGUCUGUCCAAAAGCAUAACCACUGCUGGUCACAGUGCGGGAAGCUCCAGAGGGAGACCGUACUGGUAUCCCCCUUCUUUGGGC